rnacentral:rRNA from 1 species
UCGAGAAUAUUUGACAAUGGGCGAAAGCCUGAUCGAGCGACGCCGCGUGCUGGACGAAGUGCUUCGGUACGUAAACAGCUUUUAUCGGGGACGAAAUUAUUGACGGUACCCGAUGAAUAAGGGGCUCCUAACUCUGUGCCAGCAGGAGCGGUAAUACAGAGGCCCCAAGCAUUAUCCGGAAUCACUGGGCGUAAAGGGUGUCAUAGGCGGUCAUGUUAGUCGUUCGUAAAAUCCGCGCGCUUAACGUGCGGCUCGCGAACGAAACGGCAUGACUUGAGGUGAGGAGAGGUGCGUGGAACUCACGGUGUAGGGGUGAAAUCCGUUGAUAUCGUGGGGAACACCAAAGGCGAAGGCAGCGCACUGGCCUCAAUCUGACGCUCACACACGAAAGCCAGGGGAGCGAACGGGAUUAGAUACCCCGGUAGUCC